CGUACACUCCUACGGGAGGCAGCAGUGGGGAAUAUUGCACAAUGGGCGCAAGCCUGAUGCAGCCAUGCCGCGUGUAUGAAGAAGGCCUUCGGGUUGUAAAGUACUUUCAGCGGGGAGGAAGGCGAUAAGGUUAAUAACCUUGUCGAUUGACGUUACCCGCAGAAGAAGCACCGGCUAACUCCGUGCCAGCAGCCGCGGUAAUACGGAGGGUGCAAGCGUUAAUCGGAAUUACUGGGCGUAAAGCGCACGCAGGCGGUCUGUCAAGUCGGAUGUGAAAUCCCCGGGCUCAACCUGGGAACUGCAUUCGAAACUGGCAGGCUAGAGUCUUGUAGAGGGGGGUAGAAUUCCAGGUGUAGCGGUGAAAUGCGUAGAGAUCUGGAGGAAUACCGGUGGCGAAGGCGGCCCCCUGGACAAAGACUGACGCUCAGGUGCGAAAGCGUGGGGAGCAAACAGGAUUAGAUACCCCUGUAGUCCCA
rnacentral:rRNA from 1 species